ensembl:miRNA
UGGUGCCUGAGGAGAAGUUGCCCAUGUUCUUUUCGCUUGAUACGUGACGAAACAAACAUGGUGCACUUCUUUUUCGGUGUCA